UAGGCCAAGGUCCGCUGGCUUGGGCAGCUAGUUGUUAAUUAGUGCUAUUUGCGGGAUCGAGGCCCGCUGGUCUAG
rnacentral:tRNA from 1 species